rnacentral:rRNA from 1 species
GACGAACGCUGGCGGCGUGCCUAAUACAUGCAAGUUGAGCGCUGAAGGUUGGUACUUGUACCCACUGGAUGAGCAGCGAACGGGUGAGUAACGCGUGGGGAAUCUGCCUUUGAGCAGGGGACAACAUUUGGAAACGAAUGCUAAUACCGCAUAAAAACUUUAAACACAAGUUUUAAGUUUGAAAGAUGCAAUUGCAUCACUCAAAGAUGAUCCCGCGUUGUAUUAGCUAGUUGGUGAGGUAAAGGCUCACCAAGGCGAUGAUACAUAGCCGACCUGAGAGGGUGAUCGGCCACAUUGGGACUGAGACACGGCCCAAACUCCUACGGGAGGCAGCAGUAGGGAAUCUUCGGCAAUGGACGAAAGUCUGACCGAGCAACGCCGCGUGAGUGAAGAAGGUUUUCGGAUCGUAAAACUCUGUUGGUAGAGAAGAACGUUGGUGAGAGUGGAAAGCUCACCAAGUGACGGUAACUACCCAGAAAGGGACGGCUAACUACGUG